rnacentral:rRNA from 1 species
GACGAACGCUGGCGGCGUGCUUAACACAUGCAAGUCGAACGGAAAGGCCCUGCUUUUGUGGGUUGGUCGAGUGGAGUUCGUGUGUGUAACACGUGAGUAUCCUGCACGUGACGUUGGGAUAACUUCUGGAAGCUGGGGAUAAUUGGGGAUAGGAGCUCAUGCUGCAUGGUGGGGGUUGGAAGGAUUCGGCGGUUGGGGAUGGACUGGCGGCUUAUCAGCUUGUUGGGGUGGUAGUGGAUGAGCGUGGCAUUGCGGGGUAGCCGGCCUGAGAGGGUGACCGGCCAGAUUGCGACUGGGCUGCGGCACAGACUCCUACGGGACGCAGCAGUGGGGAAUAUUGUACUAUGGGCGGAAGCCUGAUGCAGCACCGCCGCGUGCGGGAUGACGGCCUUCAGGUUGUAAUCCGCUGCCCCCUGAGAAGAAGAGAGAGUGACGGUAACGGGUAAAGAAGCACCGGCUAACUACGUG